UACAGAGGGGCAAGCGUUGUUCGGAAUUACUGGGCGUAAAGGGCGCGUAGGCGGCCUUCUAAGUCGAACGUGAAAUCCCCGGGCUCAACCCGGGAACUGCGUCGGAUACUGGAUGGCUUGAAUUCGGGAGAGGGAUGCAGAAUUCCAGGUGUAGCGGUGAAAUGCGUAGAUAUCUGGAGGAAUACCGGUGGCGAAGGCGGCAUCCUGGACCGGUAUUGACGCUGAGGCGCGAAAGCCAGGGGAGCAAACGGG
rnacentral:rRNA from 1 species